CAACAUUUAUUUUGAUCAUUUUUUUAUUUGACAAAGCCAAAACAAAUUUAUUUUCAAAUUUUACAUCUCUCUUAUAGUAUAUGAAACUACAAGACAGAUAAAUAAGAAUUUAGAAAAAUAUUAGAAUCACCAUGUCGGAUGAACUUAUGACAAAAUAACAAAAAUAAACUUUGUAGAUCUUGAGAUGUUAUGAAAUUUUGUGUUUGGCAACUUUUUUAUUUGAGUUCAUCUUGUCAUGAAAAAUCGCGUUUUUAAUUGAAAAUUUUAAAAUUUGAUUUUAUUUAAACAACCUCGGAUGGAAAAACUCUCUAAAUAAACUUUCUAGAUCUCAAAAAGUUAUGAAACUUUGUAGUUGAUAACUUUUUGUUUUGAAAUCAUCUUGUCAUGCAAAAACUACAUUUUAAUUUCUUAAAUUUAAAUAUUCUUUGCCGAGUGUUUUUCUUUGACACUCGGCACAGACCUUCUCUGCCGAUUGUCAAAAAUAAAACACUCGGCAAAAAAAAUUUCAAAUCGAAUUUUGAAGCACUAAACGAAUUCAAAUUAAAAAGUUUUUAACUACAAAGUUAUAUAACUUCUCAAGAUCUACAACAUUUAUUUUGAUCAUUUCUUUAUUUGACAAAUCCAAAACAAAUUUAUUUACAAAUUUUACAACUCUCUUAUAGUAUAUGAAACUACAAGACAUAUAUAUAAGAUUUUUGAAAGAUAUUAGAAUCACCAUGUCGGAUGAACAUAUAACAAAAUAACCAAAAUAAACUCUGUAGAUCUUGUAACACCCUAAAAUUUGUCUUUUCGAAAUAAAGCUAAAUUAAUUCAAUAUUUUUAUGGAUGUGCUCAUGAAACAUAGGAAAAAUAAUAUUUUUCAUUUAAUUAAAAUUUAACAUAGGAUAUAGCAACAAUUUUGUGCACUCAUGCUCCUGCAUUUCAUUUAUGUGCUGAGUGGUUUUACUAAAGUUCAAAAGUAUUUCAAAGUGAUUUUAAAAUGGAUUUGAAAAUGACUUUGGAAUGAAAGAAAAGAAAAUAGAAAAAAAAAGAGACAAAACCCCUUCACCCUCUAGUCUGGCCCGAAGGCCCACUCCACCUUCCACCCUCGGCCCGAUACGCAGCAGGCCAGCCCAAGCCGCGCCUCCCCCUUCCCUUCUUUCCACUGCCAGCUGGGCCCCACCCGUCAGUCACCUCCCUCUUCUUCUUCCUUGGGCGUGAGCGAGCCGGACUCCUGUCCAGGCCAAAUCAGCGCCCCAAUCCCGUUUUCUCUGGGAUUUUUCCUGCCUAACGCGCUCUACCGAAUCAUAUAGAAGCUUUUAACCACCCAGCGUCCUUUUUCUCAUCUAUCCAUCACCGAAAGCCGCCUCUGGAGCCGAUUUUGGAUCUCGCCGAAAAGCACAGGAGCAAGCCGCCGCCGUGGAGCGCCCUAACCGCGUCGUGCCGUCGAAAUUCGAGCCCUUGCCGAGUACUGCAUCGAGAUGAAGACGCUACCGAGCCCCUCUCUAUCCUUUCUCUCGGUCUCUAUGACUCACACCGCCUCGCCGAUGUUGCAGGAAGUCCGCCGCCCGCAGUUGCACGUGGCCGACCAUCUCCUAGCCCUUCCCGUCUUCGAUUGGUGCUCCGGGUGAGUUCGCGGUACUCUCCUCUUGCUUCCCGUGCAAUCGGUUUUUCAAAUCGUGCCC
rnacentral:lncRNA from 1 species